CUAGGGGGUAAGGAGCUUGUUCUGAGCAAACCAGCACAAGAAUUAGGUCACAAAUUUUGGAAGCGUACCUUUUGUGUCAUUAAGUCAAGAGUAACAAGGCUGGCAGUGGAGACAAGCAGUUCUUGCUGGAGAUCCCUGGGUGCUUGAGACCUUCCUCAGGAAAAAUCAACCUACGGUUGAGGAACAAUGUGAAGGUGAAGCCAGGUUUGCUGGAUGAGAUUUGUCUCGUGGCUAUUCAACUACCUGGGCUCUCCCUCUUCUGCACAGGACAGGAAGAGAAAUCAAGAUGGAACAGCUGGUGGGAGAUAGCCUACCAGCUAGUGUUAAAGGAAACAGAGUUUGGACUUUGAGAAAAUUGAUUUCACUUAUUCUGGGUAAUCCUGAAUGCUGCUAUGCUUUUCUCUGAUUUUGAAUUAAUAGGAAUUGGACAUAUGCUCUUGCUGAUUUGAUGGAACUUAAAUAAAUUCACGUGGUGAGGAGAGGCAAAGAUCUUUUUGUGGUUACACGAGGAUUUCCCUCAAUGAGGUUUAUUUACAGCAACGGAUUCCACAGUGCCUUACCCAACUUGUAGAGAGGGUAAUAUCACACAGUUUUGCAGCCUCAUCUGAAAUCUCACCAUAGAAAGAGUUCAUGAGCUUAUUUUUCUUGAAAUACAUGGUUCUUUUGUGAUCUCAUCUUUAUUGUAUUAGCACUGAUUACUCGCUUCUGAAAAUGUAUCUAUCGCACAGUCCUGCUUUGACUGAGGCCUCUCUAUGGCAGUCAGCCUUUAGUGCGUUACUUUUCUGUUUCUCUCUGUUUAACUUCUGAGUGCAUUAACACCAAGAGCUUGAGACAAAGCUAGUGUAACGUAAUCUACUUGUUAUUUUGCCCUGUUGGCACCACAGAAAGAAGGGAGAACAGAGUUGCUGUAGGAAAGUCUUGCAGCUGUAACAUUUCCAUGUAACACUGAGUGUUUUUCUGUGACAAGAAUUACAUUUUCCACUGAGGAGGCCCAAGACCAGGUGCAACAUGUAAACUCUUGUAACUUCCUUGUUUGUGUUUUCAGUCUGGUUCUAAAGCAGAAUAAAUCCCAUUGCCUGCUGGAUAUGCCUUCUGAGCAUGUAAGGAAAGAAAUCCUCUGUUAUAAGAUUUUUGAGCCAAAUAAGUGACAAUGACCCCUGGACCCCAAGACCUUUCCUGACAUUAGAAGGCUUCUCCUAUCAGCAAAUGAAGUCCUGACCUAACCUAGUGACCGGUAGCUGACUUUGUAUUUGUGUUGGUUGCUCUGAAAGUAAUGCCUUGUAUGUAUUUCCACUGGAAAAUACAACAGAUAGAACCAGCACAAGGAUGCUAUUUGAGAGAGAGAGAGAGAAUUCUCAGCUACAGAAUACUGCUUGUCAAUGGUCAGCUGCCUGGUAUCCUGUGCAUUUUCUGCCAGUGAUGAACAAGAACCUGCAUGCUGCACUCGUAAUCUAUCUGCACUAGCAGUGGUGACCCUGAGUUGCCACUGCUGAAACACACCACCAACCUCCCCUGUGCAUUCACAUCCCACGUUUGGUCUCCAUAAAUGUUCAGCAAGCUUCAGUGGCUGUCAACAAGUGCCUUUUUUUCCACACAGAGGAAUUCAGUGGCACACCUUUGCUUCCCACGCACUUCCAUGUUGGAUGCCAUUCUGUUGGACUGCCCCUCUGCUGCCAUUUGUCUCACAGCAACAAAAUGUAAUUGGAGUAUUGGUGGGAAGGUUCAGCUUCUACUACCACCACCUGUCGUGUUCCCAUCUAAUGUUGUGGGCCUGACAUAAUGAAAUAGGAGGCAUUAUUUUUGAAACAGGUCCUCCUAGAACAUGUAUGUAGAGUAAUAUAUGCAGAAUAGAGAAUGUUUUGAUAGUAGAUUUGUUCUUUUGGUAUCCUACUAGUUAUUUAUUUUAUCUACAGUUACGAUAGCGUUAUUUGUAGGGCUUCUCAUUAAUUGAUGUGCAUAUUUUAACAAUGUGUUUGAGUACUCCCUCAUUUCUCCUUUGCCCCAGCAGGUGAAGGGUGGGGGGUGGGAGUGUUCUUUGUAGCUUUAAAUGCAUUAGAGUAAAAGAGCGAAACGUAGAAGCUGUUUCACUGGGUAAAAGAAAUUUUGAACUGUAUAGAUCUAGCAGCAGUAAAUUUGUUGAAAAAUUAUGAAGGGAAAUGCCCUGGUAUUUGAUGAAGAUACGAAAUGUGGCAGGCUAUGAACUAUGUUUAUAUGUUUUUUCUCACUUUGAAACUAGUGGGAAUUACGUAACUGACUGCCUUUCACAAUCUGAUCCAAACAUUUUAUCAGAAUCUCCAGAAACUGUUCUUGUUUUUCUCCUUUCCCCCAUGUGACUUGACAGUAGCUUUGCUGAGGGUCAAGAGUUGAGAUCCUUUGAAGUUGUAUAUGGAGGAGUGAGUUUAUCUUGAAAAACCAUAAAAUUUGCAAUUUAAAGGCAAACGCUAUUCUAUUUGUUUCUGUAGCUCCCAUCAGCAGCAUAAGUAAGUGUCUCACAAACUAUAAGGAGAUUAGUGCUCAGACUUGUCUUGUUAUGGACAGAAAUAAUUGGAUUUCAAAAUCAUAAGCAGGAAGUAUGUAGGAAGUAGGUUCACAUGUACUCACCUCUUUAGGUCUAAUAGUUCAUGCAACGUCCUUGGUACUGACUGCUCUUUGACAAAGUAUUCCUUUUUGCUAUUGAACACCAUAAAUCAUCAGAAGAAACUUCUGUAAAAUUAAACAAUGUAUUGAGGGAAAAAAUAUACCAUAUUACAAUUUACCAUGUUGCCAUAUUACAUUUGAAAGUCUUUUUGUGUUUUGUUGUUUGCUUUUGUCUGAUUCUAUUCAACAGGAGUAUGUAAGGUGGCAUCUGUCUGUAAGAGUACCCUUCCUUUGGGGUAUCUGUGGCGAUAUCUGCUGUGGAGUAAGAAGAUAAAUAAGAUUUUCCCAACCAAUAAAAAUGAUACCCCAACACUUCUUUCUACAUCUCUUACCAUUUUUCCUCUAAGCUGUUUCUAUGUAUAAUAGGAAGACUUUGGAAUGUAAAACUUAGGAACUGAGUUGAGUAAACAAGCAAGUCUAUAAAGUAGCAGUUCAGUUGAGUACCGUGUCUAAAACUCACCUCCUCUGUGCUUUCCUUACACACGG